rnacentral:siRNA from 1 species
UGCAAUGUCUACGUUCCUUGGACA